GUGACCGAGCGACGCCGCGUGUGGGAUGAAGGCCUUCGGGUUGUAAACCACUGUCAGUAGGGAAGAAUGCCCGGAUGGUGAAUCCGGGAGGGACGGUACCUGCAGAGGAAGCCACGGCUAACUCCGUGCCAGCAGCCGCGAUAAUACGGAUGGUGCAAGCGUUAUUCGGAAUCACUGGGCAUAAAGAGCACGUAGGCGGCUGCGUAAGUCAGUGGUGAAAUCCCUCGGCUCAACCGAGGAACUGCCAUUGAUACUGCGUGGCUAGAGUGUGGGAGGGGCAGACGGAAUUCCAGGUGGAGCGGUGAAAUGCGUAGAUAUCUGGAGGAACGCCGGAGGCGAAAGCGGUCUGCUGGCCCACGACUGACGCUGAGGUGCGAAAGCUAGGGGAGCAAACAGGAUUAGAUACCCUGGUAGUCCUAGCCGUAAACGAU
rnacentral:rRNA from 1 species